rnacentral:rRNA from 1 species
UACGUAGGGGGCAAGCGUUGUCCGGAAUCAUUGGGCGUAAAGAGCGUGUAGGCGGCCCGAUAAGUCCGCUGUGAAAGUCCAGGGCUCAACCCUGGGAUGCCGGUGGAUACUGUCGGGCUCGAGUCCGGAAGAGGAGUGUGGAAUUCCUGGUGUAGCGGUGAAAUGCGUAGAUAUCUGGAGGAACACCGGUGGCGAAGGCGGCAUCCUGGACCGGCAUUGACGCUGAGGAGCGAAAGCCAGGGGAGCAAACGGG